GAUGAAGAACGCAGCGAAAUGCGAUACGUAAUGUGAAUUGCAGAAUUCAGUGAAUCAUCGAGUCUUUGAACGCACAUUGCGCCCCCUGGUAUUCCGGGGGGCAUGCCUGUCCGAGCGUCAUUGCUGCCCUCAAGCACGGCUUGCGUGUUGGGCCUCCGUCCUCCUCCCGGGGGACGGGCCCGAAAGGCAGCGGCGGCACCGCGUCCGGUCCUCGAGCGUAUGGGGCUUCGUCACCCGCUCUUGUAGGCCCGGCCGGCGCUUGCCGACACAUCAAUCUUUUUUCCAGGUUGACCUCGGAUCAGGUAGGGAUACCCGCUGAACUUAAGCAUAUCAAUAAGCGGAGGA
rnacentral:misc_RNA from 1 species